UGUAAUACGCUUUUACCCAAAACGCUGC
rnacentral:sRNA from 1 species